rnacentral:siRNA from 1 species
AGUACGGUGUUUUGUUUAGAUAU